CCACGAUGAAGACAACGGUGCUGAUACUGGCCGUCCUUCUUAUCUCAGCAGUGAUGCUGACCGAGGGGGCGCCGGCUAAACCUUCAAGAUCCGGCUCAAGGGGUGGUUCUCAAGGCAAGAAAUGUGGGGUACCAGUCAACUUAUAUACAAGUAAAAGCCCAAUGGAUGAGCACCAGCAAGAUCAACCUGCUUGGCUGGUCAAUAAAGUUACUUUUGUUCACUCA